rnacentral:misc_RNA from 1 species
AGCAGCCGCGGUAAUUCCAGCUCCAAUAGCGUAUAUUAAAGUUGCUGCAGUUAAAAAGCUCGUAGUUGAAUUUCGGGAUCAAUAUGUUGGUCGUGCCUCGGUACGUACUAGCUUAUUGGUUUCUCCCUUCUGACGAACCAUGAUGUCAUUUAUUUGGUGUUAUGAGGAAUCAGGACUGUUACUUUGAAAAAUUAGAGUGUUUAAAGCAGGCUCACGCUUGAAUACAUUAGCAUGGAAUAAUGAAAUAGGACGUUUGAUUCUAUUUUGUUGGUUUCUAGGAUCGACGUAAUGAUUAAUAGGGAUAGUUGGGGGCAUUAGUAUUCAAUUGUCAGAGGUGAAAUUCUUGGAUUUAUUGAAGACUAACUACUGCGAAAGCAUUUGCCAAGGAUGUUUUCAUUAAUCAAGAACGAAAGUUAGGGGAUCGAAGACGAUCAGAUACCGUCGUAGUCUUAACCAUAAACUAUGCCGACUAGGGAUCGGAUGAUGUUAAUUUUUAAUGUACUCAUUCGGUACCG